rnacentral:lncRNA from 1 species
CUCUUUCAACCCUACAAUAGCUUGUGUACUUUUGGUCAGACCAUUGUUGAGCUAUGAAUAGCAUCAUAAAUAUCUUAGGAAGAGAUGUGAUUUACAUUAGCCAGAGAGAAAGAGUUACUGCAAGAUUUAAUAUUUCUACUAUUAGCAAAUCUUUUUGAAAGAGGCGUUUUUUUUUUUUUGUGUGUGUGUGGUGUUUUUUUUUUGUUUUUUUUUUUUGAGAUUUGGCAGGAGGUCUUGCAGAAUGAAAAGGAGAUCAUAAAUUGGAUGCUCUUUACAUCAAAGUGCUUUUGCUUUGACAUCAUAAUCAAGUAUUUUCUACAGUAUAUGCCACAGUUGGCAGGUUAAGUAGGAAAGAACAUUUUGCACACCAGAUGUCCAACUUUUCUGAUGGAAGUGUAAUAUAUGGUUUUGGAAAAAGAGGUGCUCCUGAUUUGUCUUCUGUCACAUGCACUUUGUUGAAAAUAUUCUACUCACCAUCUUCAGUGAUGUAUUUAUUAUGAACUCUGGAGAAAAGAGAAGUCUACUACUCAAUCUCUGUAUUUAUUUAUUUUUACUAUUAAGUUCUUUCUAAUGUACUGACAAACUUUUCUUACAAAUUCAGCCCUCUUUUAGAUCUCCUAAAACUCUAAUCUCCUCUGCAUUGUUCUCCAUAUGAUUAUGCUUAUCCCCUUUCAACAUUCUGGCCAGGUUUUCUAGUGCAUCCAACAGAAAACUUCAUUUUCA